rnacentral:rRNA from 1 species
AACGAACGCUGGUGGCAGGCCUAACACAUGCAAGUCGAGCGCCCCGCAAGGGGAGCGGCGGACGGGUGAGUAACGCGUGGGAAUUUUCCUCAAGGUACGGAACAACUCAGGGAAACUUGGGCUAAUACCGUAUGAUGCAGAGAUGCCAAAGAUUUAUCGCCUUGGGAUAAGCCCGCGUCAGAUUAGGUAGUUGGUGGGGUAACGGCCUACCAAGCCUGCGAUCUGUAGCUGGUCUGAGAGGACGAUCAGCCACAUUGGGACUGAGACACGGCCCAAACUCCUACGGGAGGCAGCAGUGGGGAAUCUUGCGCAAUGGGCGAAAGCCUGACGCAGCCAUGCCGCGUGAAUGAUGAAGGUCUUAGGAUUGUAAAGUUCUUUCGCCCGUGACGAUGAUGACGGUAACGGGAGAAGAAGCCCCGGCUAACUUCGUGCCAGCAGCCGCCGUAACAC